rnacentral:rRNA from 1 species
GAUGAACGCUGGCGGCGUGCCUAAUACAUGCAAGUCGAGCGAACGGACGAGAAGCUUGCUUCUCUGAUGUUAGCGGCGGACGGGUGAGUAACACGUGGAUAACCUACCUAUAAGACUGGGAUAACUUCGGGAAACCGGAGCUAAUACCGGAUAAUAUUUUGAACCGCAUGGUUCAAAAGUGAAAGACGGUCUUGCUGUCACUUAUAGCUGGAUCCGCGCUGCAUUAGCUAGUUGGUAAGGUAACGGCUUACCAAGGCAACGAUGCAUAGCCGACCUGAGAGGGUGAUAGGCCACACGGGAACUGAGACACGGUCAAGACUCCUACGGGAGGCAGCAGUAGGGAAUCUUCCGCAAUGGGCGAAAGCCUGACGGAGCAACGCCGCGUGAGUGAUGAAGGUCUUCGGAUCGUAAAACUCUGUUAUUAGGGAAGAACAUAUGUGUAAGUAACUGUGCACAUCUUGACGGUACCUAAUCAGAAAGCCACGGCUAACUACGUG